UAUGGCGAAUGAAACGGGAAAAGCCCAAAUUUGAAAUCUCCUAGCUUAACGCUAGGCGAGUUGUAAUUUGUAGAAGGUCUUCAUCUGAACUGUGUUUGCUAAAGUCCAUUGGAAAAUGGCGGGCCUUUAUGGUCCUCAAGUCGUAGAGGGUGACAACCCCGUUCUUGGCAUUCUACUAGUUCUUUUGUAUGAUUCCUUCAAAGAGUCGGAUUGUUUGGGAAUGCAAUCCAAAACGGGUGGUAAAUUCCAUCCAAGGCUAAAUAUUAGCAAGAGACCGAUAGCGAACAAGUACCGUGAGGGAAAGAUGAAAAGAACUCUGAAGAGAGAGUUCAACAGUACGUGAAAUUGCUGAAAGGGAAACGCUUGAAACGAUUGUUGCUUUUGGUUUCGGCCUUGAGCGAGUCAGUAGCAGUUUUGAACGGUAAAGAAGUGCUUGGAGAAGGUAGUUUUCUUCGGAAAAUGUUAUAGCUCCAGGUAACUGUGCCGGUUGAGACUGAGGAUCGCUUUCAAGUGCCUUGUCGAGGAAUUUUGGGCCGCUAGCGCCAAGGCCUUGGGCUUGCUCAAGACUUGGUGUUAACGGUUCAGGACGACCAAACACAAGGCCUUGAAAUAGGUUACUGACAAAAUGGUUUUAAUCGACCCGUCUUGAAACACGGACCAAGGAGUGCAACAAAUUUGCAAGUCGUAGGGUGACAAACCUGAAGGCGCAAUGAAAGUGAAAAAAUACCACCCAGUAACAUGGGACAGUAUUGCCCGGUCUUGCGGCUACCGCCAAAGGAUCUGAGGUAGAGCAAAUUUGCUGCGACCCGAAAGAUGGUGAACUAUGCCUGCAUAGGGCGAAGCCAGAGGAAACUCUGGUGGAGGCUCGUAGCGAUUCUGACGUGCAAAUCGAUCGUCAAAUGUGGGUAUAG
rnacentral:rRNA from 1 species